rnacentral:lncRNA from 15 species
AACGUCCACCCGAACCAAAAAGUGAAGACAGAGAGGAGAGCAGAGAGACCUCCUCAGAGGGCCGUCGACCUGACUAAUGUCACUGUGAGAGUUCGCCGUUGACACCCAGAGACUAUAACAAACUCUCAAGUGUGCAAGAGGCGGGGUCUGCUGUGAGAGGUUCAGAACACAUCGUAGAUAGGAGUUAUACACAGUUACAGCAGCAUACAGGUGUUGAAAAACUUGAAACCUCUAAGGAAUGGGGGGGUUGCUUUUGUUUCAUGAACACAUCUUUACUCUUCCCGAACACCUUUAUCCACAUUAACGCUUACAAAAGUCGACUUUAAGGUAACACAUGAUGGCUACCGGAUGUUCCCUGAAUGCAGCGCUCCAUCCAGAUGCACCUGUUGCUUUGAAAAGUCUCGGGUCGACAGUGAAGAUAACUCCUCCAGUCUGCUGUGUGUGUGUGUGUGUGUGUGUGUGUGUGUGUGUGUGUGUGUGUGUGUGUGUGUGUGUGUGUGUGUGUGUGUGUGUGGACCGAUAAUGAUCUAAUAAUUCAAUUACAUUCCAACAAAUUAACAUCUCUCAGUGUGUUUUAUUCAAAUGAACUUUCAUUAUCGUCAACUAACGAGUGACAUCAUAUGUAAAGACCUGUCAUAUGUUGCCGUCAUCACUUCCUGAUCAUCAGAUAAUAUGCCUGCCUGCUACUCUGAGGCAUUUAAUGUCUACAGCGUCAAUCCAAAUACUUUUAACUCACUGUACUAAACCUGAAAUUGUCUCUUUCUUUAACGGGAAAUGAACCUUUUCUCUGCACUUGAGAAAACAGCCAUUUUUGUGCGCUCACACGUCCCUGAUGGGUUCGUGUCUCAUGUUCAAAGCUAAAUCGUUCCUGUAAAGUGACAUUUCGAAUAUAUCCGACAACAGUUAGGUCGCCUUACAAAAGAGGGCGUACAUUUGUUUACACAUUCCUAUCUGCUUUAUCUCCAGCGAACAGAUGAGCUCAGCUGCUGCCUUCAGGUACCGUCGGAAAUACUCCCUUACACAGUUUGCAUCCUGCUAUGCCAGUGUUGAGCCCCUGCAUUUGUUUGGUAGAGGACCCAGAGGGGCCAACUAUCUGUCCCUCUUAUAUACAUACCGGGGCCCUCGCUGCACCCCUCGACCACGCCUGGCAUGCCACGCUCCGAAGAUGACCCUGCGGCAGAUCUGUCGCAUGCUGAAGGUGAUGAAGAAGGUCAGGAACAGAGAGGCUGCGGCUGCUGCUGCUACCAGGAAGCAGGGGUCUGCGGCUCCUGCCCCGGGGUCGCCCUGCACCAAGUCGGAGAAGAAAUGCGUCCCGAGCUGUCUCAGACACAAACGCAGUAUAAAACGUGUUGGCUGACCCAGGACCCCUGGCCAACCGCACACAACCCUUUAUCCCCCCAGCAGAAAACCAUUUGCCACCCAGUUACAACUCUAACAGUGACAUGGUAGAUCGUCAAUCCUCCAAUGGGAAAGUUCAUUCAGAUUAUUCCAAUUUGGACAGCUAGCCGUGUGACUGAUGAUAUUGGAGGACGACGUUCCCUUGACUUAUGGUCCAUCAGGAGAGGAUGGCAUGAUUUUAUUCCUAAACACCCUGUGCUUUAGAAAGUGGAAGAUUUUUGGAGAUUUGGAGUGGAGAUUUUUUUAAAGACAAAAUUAUCACAAACUACUAUUUUUAAAGGGUUUUUUUGAGUGCUUUUUGUUGUUCAGCACAGUUUUAUUGAUUCCUGUUAUUCUUUAUAUUAAAUUUUUUGGUCCCCUUCAGUCUCCAAACCCAAGAUUAUCAGCACUUUUCCCUCUGAUCCUCUCAAGGAUUUGAGGAGUGAAACUCUCCUUCCCAUAAGACUUCUUUUUAAAGCAGCUUUUUUACUGUUUAAUUUGUUCACUUAUUGAAUAAAAACAUGUACUACUACUAAAUGCUUACCAUUAUUGGGGCUGUAAAAAGAGAAGACAACUUUAAAUAUGGCAUAGAUAACCAGCUAACAUCACAUAAAAAGCCACACACUGAAGAGGCUAUUACCAUGCAUGGUACAUGUGACAAUUCCACUAAAAUCAAUGUCUAAAAUUAAUGAUAUGGCAGCUGUUCACUCUGUUCUUUGCAUGUAGUGUUGUUUAUGUGAAUUUGUCUUUUAAAUGUGCAAUAAAACUUUAAGUAAUCAAUCAUAACAAAUUGUGACUGAACUGUCUUUGUGUGUUCCAAUGAAACAAAAUGACAUUAAAGCCCUCUCUAAACUCUAAACUAUUAUUAUACUAUUUAUGAACAAAAAAGCAACAAUCAAGGGUUUAACACUCAAAACACAUUUGGAUUCAAAUGUUGCUAAAACCUGAUAGGUGAACAGAAG